GUGAGUAGUUCAGAGUUUGAUCCUGGCUCAGGACGAACGCUGGCGGCGUGCCUAACACAUGCAAGUCGAACGGAGCACUUCGGUGCUUAGUGGCGAACGGGUGAGUAACGCGUGAAGAACCUGCCUUUCAGUGGGGGACAACAGUUGGAAACGACUGCUAAUACCGCAUAAUGUUAUUUGGGGGCAUCCUCGAAUAACCAAAGAUUUAUUGCUGAAAGAUGGCUUCGCGUCUGAUUAGCUAGAUGGCGGGGUAACGGCCCACCAUGGCGACGAUCAGUAGCCGGUCUGAGAGGAUGAACGGCCACAUUGGGACUGAGAUACGGCCCAG
rnacentral:rRNA from 1 species